rnacentral:rRNA from 1 species
AUACGUAGGUGACAAGCGUUAUCCGGAUUUACUGGGCGUAAAGGGCGUGUAGGCGGUCUUGCAAGUCAGAAGUGAAAUUCCUGAGCUCCACUCGGGCGCUGCUUCUGAAACUGCAGGACUUGAGUGCUGGAGGGGAUAGCGGAAUUCCUAGUGGAGCGGUAAAAUGCGCAGAUAUUAGGAAGAACACCGGUGGCGAAGGCGGCUAUCUGGACAGUAACUGACGCUGAGGCGCGAAAGCGUGGGGAGCAAACAGGAUUAGAUACCCUGGUAGUCCACGCUGUAAACGAUGAUUACUAGGUGUUGGGGACCAAAGGUCCUCGGUGCCGCCGCAAACGCAUUAAGUAAUCCACCUGGGGAGUACGUUCGCAAGAAUGAAACUCAAAGGAAUUGACGGGG